rnacentral:rRNA from 1 species
GAUCAUUAUCGUACAAUGGAGGUGCUGGGGUUGUCGCUGACUUGUCAAAGGGUCGUGCACGCCUCGGUGCUCUCGUACAAAAUCCAUCUCACCCCUUUGUGCAUCACCGCGUGGGGACCCCUUUUGGCUAGUUCUGAAGGGGGUUUUCACGUUUUUAUACAAACACCCUUUUAAUGCAAUAUGUAGAAUGUCUUACUUUUUGCGAUCACACGCAAUUAAUACAACUUUCAACAACGGAUCUCUUGGCUCUCGCAUCGAUGAAGAACGCAGCGAAAUGCGAUACGUAAUGUGAAUUGCAGAAUUCAGUGAAUCAUCGAAUCUUUGAACGCACCUUGCGCCCUUUGGCAUUCCGAAGGGCACACCCGUUUGAGUGUCGUGACAUUCUCAAAACCUUCUUGGUUUCUGGACCGGAAAGGUUUUGAAUUUGGAAGGUUUUGGCUGCCUUUCCCUUGUGAAACCCGGUUCCCCGAAAAGAAAUAAUGGGGGCCGGCUUGGCCAUUCCCUGACUUGAUAAAAAAUUUCUCCUUCUGGGUUUCCGCAUCCCCUUCCCCUUCCUAACGUCUUCAUUAAAAAACAAGGGCCAAUGGAUGGCAACUCAACCCACGAACCUUGACCUCAAAUCGGGUGAGACUACCCGCUGAACUUAA